ensembl:lncRNA
AGAGACAUUAAAUCAACAGAUGUACAACCCUUACACAGUUCUCCCUGCUUUUUGCUCCCUCUACAGGCUAUUGUUGAAAAAACAGCCUUCAUCCUAUCCUACCUGACCUCUAAGGGCAGAGUCCCUCUGCUCGGACUCAGUGAUGUCAUCAGUACCAUCCUCCAGGUGGGGAAUAAGAAACGAAUCAGCUGGCUUCUCCUGCAGGCCCUCCACCAAUCACGCUUCUCUGCUAGUCCCAAUGCAGUUCAUCGACUGGCUCUUCAGUAUUACAGAAGGUCCUAAACUAGGUUUCUCUGAGACUGCCUUACUUACCGCCAAAGGUGAGACACUUUGUUUUAGUCAAAUUAUUAUUUCAUGACGGUCUUUAAUUUGUGUUUUAAAAAUGUGCUGAUAACAAGAAGCAAAGGAUUGUUACGUGAUUUACAGUACACAUGGAAUCUCUUAUUUGACACUCAUUUGUAUCUCGUUCCGUCUUAGCGAUGCAAAUGGCUCUGAGAUCCAGCUCUGAGUUCAAGAAGAAGGGUGUGUGGACCAAGAAGUAUGGCUGGUGAUCCCACUGAGAGCUCUGACACUCCAAGGACACCAUUUAUUUACAUGCAUAUUCAAAGUAGCAUCUACAUAACAAAGCAUACAGGUCACAUGUUAAUGCCAAGUGGAAACGCAGCCAAGGGCACAGAAUUACUGCAGAGAGCACCAUGAUGACCUGGUCCUGUGCAUCAUCAGCAACAAAGAACUGCAACCGCUUUCUGAUUAUCCAAAAGAGGACUCUUUGGCUGCGUUUACACUUGGCAUUAACAUAUGACCUGAAAAGACAAGUGUAAACGUGCUUCUGAUCGGAAUGUUAUCCGAUCAGCGUGUCCUGGUCCAAAGGUAGUCAAGGAUGCAUUGUGAUCAAAACUCAGUAUAAUGUAAACACAAUCCAUCCACCGUGUCUGCAUUUGCAGGUCAACAUCACGCAAAACGCCGACCCCUCUCUCCCGAACUGUCAGAAAAAAAGACCUUGGAGAGCACCAGUGCCCUGCCUUGAAUCAGCACUGUUGGGUUUAUAAUGUAAAGCAGAAGGCUUGGAAACCCGCCGCGUUUGAGCGGAGACUCAACUUUCUCUAUCCUACGCUAAAUACGUCAAUGGCACAUUUGUUUUAGAAGCUUCACAAACAACUGUAACUGUGUGAUAGGAAUUUUUUGAUAGUAAUGAUGUUUGCUAGGUUCCUUGUUUGCUUACUUUUAAAUGCUAAACAUCAAAUUAAAUGUAAGGGAUUCCAGAAGCAAUAGGUAUCUUAAUGCAGUAGUUUAUUUCAGAACUAAUAUGAAAUAUGAGAAGUAAUAUUAAUGUCUGUAGAGUGCAGUCUCAUGUGAAUAUCGAUAUUUAAUGCAUUAUCUGCUUGUGGUUACUUCAGUUUUAAAUAAAUUAA